rnacentral:rRNA from 2 species
UAGGGAAUCUUCCGCAAUGGGCGAAAGCCUGACGGAGCAACGCCGCGUGAGUGAUGAAGGUCUUCGGAUCGUAAAACUCUGUUAUUAGGGAAGAACAAAUGUGUAAGUAACUAUGCACGUCUUGACGGUACCUGAUCAGAAAGCCACGGCUAACUACGUGCCAGCAGCCGCGGUAAUACGUAGGUGGCAAGCGUUAUCCGGAAUUAUUGGGCGUAAAGCGCGCGUAGGCGGUUUUUUAAGUCUGAUGUGAAAGCCCACGGCUCAACCGUGGAGGGUCAUUGGAAACUGGAAAACUUGAGUGCAGAAGAGGAAAGUGGAAUUCCAUGUGUAGCGGUGAAAUGCGCAGAGAUAUGGAGGAACACCAGUGGCGAAGGCGACUUUCUGGUCUGUAACUGACGCUGAUGUGCGAAAGCGUGGGGAUCAAACAGG